rnacentral:rRNA from 1 species
ACCUUAAAGCUAGCCUAAUCAUCAAAAAAACAUAACAUUAUCAAACCCAUUACCCUCCAAAACUUAAUUUAAAACAUUUUUAUCUUCCUAGUAUAGGUGAUAGAACAGAAACUUAGAGCUAUAGAAAUAGUACCGCAAGGGAAAGCUGAAAAAGAAAUGAAACAAAUCAUUUAAGUACUAAAAAGCAGAGAUCAAUCCUCGUACCUUUUGCAUCAUGAUUUAGCCAGAACAACUGGGCAAAAAGAUUUUAAGUCCAUCUUCCCGAAACUAGACGAGCUACUUCGGAGCAGCAUACUAGAGCGAACCCGUCUCUGUGGCAAAAGAGUGGGAAGACUCCCAAGUAGAGGUGAAAAGCCUACCGAGCCUAGUGAUAGCUGGUUGCCCAAGAAAAGAACUUAAAUUCUGCAUUAAUUUUCUAACUUACCAAAUAUUAUUUAUAUAAGGCAAUUGUAACAAUUAAUAGUUAUUCAAAAGAGGUACAGCUCUUUUGAACAAAGAAACAACUUUCUAAGGUGGGUAACGAUCAUAAUAUUAAGGAAACUUACCUCAGUGGGCCUAAAAGCAGCCACCUGUAAAGCAAGCGUCAUAGCUCCAGCUUCAUAAACCAAUAAUCCUGAUAACAUUUCAAAACCCCCUUCCCAAUAUUGGACAAUUUUAUAUGAUAAAAGAACUUAUGCUAAAAUGAGUAAUAAGAGGUUAAACCUCUCCUAACACCAGUGUAAGUCAGAAAGAAUUAAAUCACUGACAAUUAACCGAUACCAGUCUGAGGCUAACAUACAAAAAGAAAAUAACAAGAAAAACCCAUCACAACUAUCGUUAACCCUACACAGGAGUGUCUACAGGAAAGAUUAAAAGAAAACAAAGGAAUUCGGCAAACACAAACUCCGCCUGUUUACCAAAAACAUCGCCUCUUGCUCUACAAGUAUAAGAGGUCCCGCCUGCCCUGUGAUAUUUUUUAACGGCCGCGGUAUUUUGACCGUGCGAAGGUAGCGUAAUCACUUGUCUUUUAAUUGAAGACCCGUAUGAAAGGCACCACGAGAGUUUAUCUGUCUCUGUUUUCUAAUCAAUGAAAUUGAUCUUCUCGUGCAGAAACGAGAAUAAUAACAUAAGACGAGAAGACCCUAUGGAGCUUUAAACACUUAAGUUAAUUAUUACCUGAUAUCUUCUAUGGAUAUAAAAUAAUAUAAAUAACUUAACUUAAUGUUUUCGGUUGGGGCGACCAAGGGAAAAACAAAACCCCCUCAUCGAUUGAGUAUUUACUUAAAAACUAGAACAACAGUUCUAGUUAAUAGAACAUCUAUCGAACAAUGACCCAGGGCAACCUGAUCAAUGAACCAAGUUACCCUAGGGAUAACAGCGCAAUCCUUUCUUAGAGUUCCCAUCGCCGAAAG